CCUACGGGUGGCAGCAGUGAGGAAUAUUGGUCAAUGGGCGCGAGCCUGAACCAGCCAAGUAGCGUGAAGGAUGACUGCCCUACGGGUUGUAAACUUCUUUUAUACAGGAAUAAAGUGAGGCACGUGUGCCUUUUUGUAUGUACUUUAUGAAUAAGGAUCGGCUAACUCCGUGCCAGCAGCCGCGGUAAUACGGAGGAUCCGAGCGUUAUCCGGAUUUAUUGGGUGUAAAGGGAGCUGAGAGGGGUUGUUAAGUCAGUUGUGAAAGUUUGCGGCUCAACCGUAAAAUUGCAAUUGAUACUGGCAGCUUUGAGUACAGUUGAGGUAGGCGGAAUUCGUGGUGUAGCGGUGAUAUGCUUAG
rnacentral:rRNA from 1 species